AACUAUGUAAUGUAAUUCCAGUGGAAUUCGGUAGGUGGCAUAAAACAGCCUUUUUGUUUUGUUUUGUUUUCAACACCAAAUGUGGUUAACAGUGAAAUAAAUUCAAGGAAGUGCUUGAAUUUCUUACAGACUGCCAAAUGGAACAGACAAGCAGGUUGUCUUGUGUUAAAGAAAAUGAGAUAUAAGUCAGUUACUCCCGGAGGCAAUGCUGCUGUUCAGCUCUUCUGUUUUUGUGGCCAGAAUCUGUAUCUGUAUCAAGAUGAUCUGAAGAACAGCUUCUACCUUUAGGAAUGUCUAGUGUUCCAAAAUGACUAGCAUCUUCCAUUUUGCCAUUAUCUUCAUGUUAAUACUUCAGAUCAGAAUACAAUUAUCUGAAGAAAGUGAAUUUUUAGUUGAUAGGUCAAAAAACGGUCUCAUCCACGUUCCUAAAGACCUAUCCCAGAAAACAACAAUCUUAAAUAUAUCGCAAAAUUAUAUAUCUGAGCUUUGGACUUCUGACAUCUUAUCACUGUCAAAACUGAGGAUUUUGAUAAUUUCUCAUAAUAGAAUCCAGUAUCUUGAUAUCAGUGUUUUCAAAU
rnacentral:lncRNA from 1 species